CCUGUCCCUCGGGCCCCGCCCCCCGGGGCUGUGCGCGCGCCGCUCCCUCCCUUCGCCGCCUGCGUCCCCUGAGCGAGGGGAGCCGGCGGCGAUUGCCCCGCGGGCACAGCGGAGUCGCGUGGCAAACCGCCCAUCUCUGGUGGCCCCUGGGCAGAAGGGAUGACGUGCAGGAGCGGGCGGGGCCUGGGUGCCCGGAGACGUGGGUGCUGCAGCCUUUCACAAACGCUGAGAAGGAAAGAAAGCGGGAGCCUCCUCUGGGCUCCGUCCUGGACUCCUGUGACCUUGGGCGACCUUUGCUCACGGGAGGAUGUAUUUGUUGACCUCCUCAGGAUCUGGCCAUAAAGUCUAAUGUCUCUGUUUUCCCAUCUGUAAAAUGGAGACGGACUGUCAAGCUAAUAGGGAUACAGGGAGGAUUCACUAAUACUUGCUAAGCACCAUCCAUAAUGCAAAGGGGAGUCCUGCUGACUGACCAGAACCUGACUAUGCUGGGCACUGUACAAAUGCAACACAAAAAGAUGGUCCCACAGUGUUUACAACCUAAUGAGGAGAUGGUUGGACUGCACAUGAAGAGUUCACAGAUGUAGAUCGUGCCACUUUCUCCAACACUUUUAAAAAUGUCAUCAGUAAAACCCACCUGAAAAAAAAUCAGAGUACUUUAACACGUCACUGUGAUUAUAAGUCAAGAGAAAGAUUUACGAUCUGUAUCUUUAGCAUAUUGUAAAUGUGUCCUUAAGAGAUUUUUUAAAGUCCCUUGACUGUGUGUUUAUAUACAUAUUUUCCAAAAGAACUAGAUUCCUUUAAAAGCAUGCAUCUAGCCACUUCACUUAUUAAAACUCUCUUCUCUUGCA